rnacentral:rRNA from 1 species
UACGUAGGGGGCGAGCGUUGUCCGGAUUUAUUGGGCGUAAAGAGCUCGUAGGCGGCUUGGCAAGUCGGGUGUGAAACCUCCAGGCUCAACCUGGAGACGCCACUCGAUACUGCUAUGGCUAGAGUCCGGUAGGGGACCACGGAAUUCCUGGUGUAGCGGUGAAAUGCGCAGAUAUCAGGAGGAACACCGGUGGCGAAGGCGGUGGUCUGGGCCGACACUGACGCUGAGGAGCGAAAGCGUGGGUAGCAAACAGG